rnacentral:rRNA from 1 species
UACGGGGGGGGCAAGCGUUGUUCGGAAUUACUGGGCGUAAAGGGCUCGUAGGCUGCCAACUAAGUCAGACGUGAAAUCCCUCGGCUUAACCGGGGAACUGCGUCUGAUACUGGAUGGCUUGAGAUUGGGAGAGGGAUGCGGAAUUCCAGGUGUAGCGGUGAAAUGCGUAGAUAUCUGGAGGAACACCGGUGGCGAAGGCGGCAUCCUGGACCAACACUGACGCUGAUGAGCGAAAGCGUGGGGAGCGAACAGG